AGCUCCAAUAGCGUAUAUUAAAGUUGUUGCAGUUAAAAAGCUCGUAGUUGAAUUUCUGUUUAGAAAAUUCGUCCAGCGUUUGUGCGCUGGUAUGCGAUUUCUUCUAAACAUUUCUUCAAAGACCGUAUGCUGCACUUUAUUGUGUGGUGUGCGGGAUUUGAGACCUUUACUUUGAGAAAAUUAGAGUGUUUCAAGCAAGCGUUUGCUUUGAAUACUGCAGCAUGGAAUAAUACGAUAAGACUUUAGUCUUAUUUUGUUGGUUUCUAAGACUGAAGUAAUGAUUGAUAGGGACAGUUAGGGGCAUUCGUAUUUAACUGUCAGAGGUGAAAUUCUUGGAUUUGUUAAAGACGAACUACUGCGAAAGCAUUUGCCAGGGAUGUUUUCAUUAAUCAAGAACGAA
rnacentral:rRNA from 1 species